GACGAACGCUGGCGGCGUGCUUAACACAUGCAAGUCGAACGGUGAAGCGCUUUCCUUUUUGGUUGGUGUGGAUGAGUGGCGAACGGGUGAGUAACACGUGAGUAACCUGCCCCCUUCUUCUGGAUAACCGCAUGAAAGUGUGGCUAAUACGGGAUAUUCUGCGCCUGCUGCAUGGUGGGUGUGGGAAAGAUUGUGCCUUUGGGUGUUUUCGGUGGGGGAUGGGCUCGCGGCCUAUCAGCUUGGUGGUGGGGUGAUGGCCUACCAAGGCGGUGACGGGUAGCCGAGCUGAGGGGGUGGACGGUCACACUGGGGCUGCGCCCCAGCCCAGACUCCUACGGGAGGCAGCGGUGGGGUAUAUUACACAAGGGGCGCAAGCCUGAUGCAGCGACGCCGCGUGAGGGAUGGAGGCCUUCGGGUUGUGAACCUCUUUCGCCAGUGAAGCAGGCCUGCUCCUUGUGGGUGGGUUGACGGUAGCUGGAUAAGAAGCGCCGGCUAACUACGUG
rnacentral:rRNA from 1 species